UGUCCAAUCAAGUUUCUGUUUUUCUCAUGAGCACAUCGAUGAAAAUCUACUCUCCUUCUAGGGAUUAUUUGUAGCCAACAAAAAUACUCAAAUUCUACAAAAGUGUUGUACAAUUGCUUAGGACUGUUAAGUAGCCAACUAAUAUUAUACAAUUUAGUAUUGCUAUAGGGGAGAGUGGGGUAAGAUAAGCCAGUGGGUACGUUGACCCGACCCCUUUAUUCAGGCAACUGUACACAUUUGUUGUAAUUUGACCAUAAAUUCAGGAAUCACCCGACAUUUAUAUCUAUUUAUUUAGUACUUAUAUAUACAUGAAUAAAUACUAGGUCAAAGCAAAUUAACCCACGCGUAAAAAUAUAUGUCAGUACAUGCUGGUAAUUUGCCAAGUAUAAAACCAUGGGAGUAAUUUAGCUAAAGAUUAGCCUGAAUAGAUAACUAGGCCGUUUUUUUUCCAAAAUCGUGGCUGUGGAGCAAAGUGAGCAACAUUCUGUGGGAAAAAAUAAUACUCGAGUGAAGUGCAACCAAGUGUGCCCCAGCAUAGCUUCGACAACAGCUUGGUGUACAUCAUGAAGCGUCUCGUCUCCACACUCCACUGCGUGCGUAAAUGCCCCGCCCCUCUCCACAUCAUCAUCACGUCUCUGGCCAAGAAGUGAAAGUCAACGCAACCCUGAAGUUUCAUCAUGGCGCUGCAAAUUCCUGCAUGCUGCUUCAUGUUCGCGAUUGUACAGAAACAAUUUAACGAUUGUACGUUAUGUUUUUGGGCGUGGGCUUAAUAUUACAGAUAUUAAAAUGAUUGAAAUCAUGGCAGAAUGGUUUCAACUAUUCCAUUGCAGGGACACCAACUAAUAAGAAAUAAAAUAAAAAUCACCAAAAUGCAA